AGCAAGUGUCCGCUGUACCUGGCCUGCUACCACCUAAAGACUGAGCGCAGCCAGCAGGACUGGGAAAGGCAGGGCGAUGAUGGCAGUGAAGGAUGGAGUCUCACUCUGUCGCCUAGGCUGGAGUGCCGUGGUGCGAUCUCGCUCACUGCAACCUCCACCUCCCAGGUUCAAGCAAUUCUCUGCCUCAGCAUCCCGAGUAGCUGGGAUUAUAGGUGCCCGCCACCAUGCCCAGCUCAUUUUUGUAUUUUUAGUAGAGGCGGGGUUUCACCAUCUUGGCCAGGCUGGUCUUGAAUUCCUGACCUCAAGUGAUCCACCCGCCUUGGCCUCCCAAAGUGUUGGGAUUACAGGAGUGAGCCACCUCGCCCAGCCAACUUGACAUAACUUUUAAAGAUGGAUUGCCAAGCUGAGACAAAAGCUGACCGUAUGUCCUAUCAUCAAUGGGGAAGACCACCUUCGUUUGUUGAACUUUCAACACAAUUUUAUAACUCGGAUACAAAAUAUUUCUAAUCUACAGAAGUUAAUAUCGUUGGAUUUAUAUGAUAACCAGAUUGAAGAAA
rnacentral:lncRNA from 1 species